rnacentral:rRNA from 1 species
CUACGUGCCAGCAGCCGCGGUAAUACGUAUGUCACGAGCGUUAUCCGGAUUUAUUGGGCGUAAAGCGCGUCUAGGUGGUUAUAUAAGUCUGAUGUGAAAAUGCAGGGCUCAACUCUGUAUUGCGUUGGAAACUGUAUAACUAGAGUACUGGAGAGGUAAGCGGAACUACAAGUGUAGAGGUGAAAUUCGUAGAUAUUUGUAGGAAUGCCGAUGGGGAAGCCAGCUUACUGGACAGAUACUGACGCUGAAGCGCGAAAGCGUGGGUAGCAAACAGGAUUAGAUACCCUGGUAGUCCACGCUGUAAACGAUGAUUACUAGGUGUUGGGGUCGAACCUCAGCGCCCAAGCAAACGCGAUAAGUAAUCCGCCUGGGGAGUACGUACGCAAGUAUGAAACUCAAAGGAAUUGACGGGGACCCGCACAAGCGGUGGAGCAUGUGGUUUAAUUCGACGCAACGCGAGGAACCUUACCAGCGUUUGACAUC